AUGGCGAACGGCGACAAGGACAUGGCCACCACGGAAUUGAUGGAGACAGAGGGGCUGAAGGUCCUUGCUGUGGACGAUGAUCCCGUCUGCCUCCAGACCUUGACGCAGAUGCUUCGGCGCGGCGGCUACGAAGUGACGGCCAGCGCCUCGCCCGCAGAUGCGCUGAAAGAGGUGGAGAAGAACCCGGAUGGGAUCGACUUCAUCAUGACCGUCGCACAGACCCGGCGGCGAGGGAUGGACGGCGUCGGCCUUGUCAAGCGCGUCGGGAAACGUUACCCUGUCAUUCUCAUGUUCUCGGGCAACGAGACCAUGGAGACAAGGGAAAGGGGAAUGCAGGAAGGCGCUUGCUACUUGAUGGACAAGCCCCUACGUGACGUGCAUAUAUACUUCAUCUGGCAGCAAGUCGUGCGGUGGAGGCGCAAAGCCGCCGGCGCAGCCACGGAGAACCCUAACCCUCGCCACACCCAAGGCGUCCAUCUGGAUGACACGCCAAGGAAGAGAGGGCAAGGACUGAACGAUUCCAACAAGGGCAAGGGGGCUUCCGAGGGCGGCCUGCAGCUGGGGACCACAAAGAAGAAAAAGGUCGAGUGGACUCUAGAGAUGCAUGAAUUGUUCGUCAAUGCGGUCACCCAGCUAAAGACAACAGGAGACGACACGCCAAACAAUAUAAGAGAAUUUUUGGAGAUUGACGGUAUAUAUGUAACUACAGCUCAAGUCAGUAGCCAUCUACAGAAAUACAGAAACGACUGCCGUAAGGGUGGGCUAUCAACCAUGUCAAGCUCUAGGCCACCAUAUUCUAAUAAUACUUCCAAGAACUAUUCGGAAUCUCAAGAAAGUGAGGGAAGUUACAGAUUCCAUAUGAGGUCCCAGGGAGCAAGAGAUAUUAACCAAACCAGCUGGCUAAGCGGUGGUGCAUCACAAGUUGACUAUGGCGUUCUUGGAAAUGGGAACCACACAACUAAUCUUGGUGCAGGUGCUGCUUAUGGUCAUGGUUAUCAUCAUGGUAAUAGCAUUGGCGACAUAACUGGUUAUGAUCAUCAUUAUGGUACUGUCAGUGCUAAUGAUUAUGGACAGCAUUAUGGUAAUGGCAAUAAUAAAUCUUAUGGUUAUCCUCACGGUAAUUCUAGUGAUAAUAAUUAUGGUAAUGGUAAUGGUGGCUGCGGUGGAGUUAUAACAAGUGGAAGCAUGGUAAGUGUGUCAUUGCCGUCCAACCUAGCACCACCAGUACAACAUGGAAUGCGUGGAGAUGCUUCUGCUGGUCAGACCAGUGCAGUGCAGCCUCAAAAUCUUGACAGUGUUUUUCUCAACUGGGGCAACACUAGUUCUGAAACAGCCGGCACAUCAGGUGGAGGUGGUGUAGUGACAGACGGGACGACUCGUGGGCUAACUAUGGAGGAAUUAGAAAACCUUAUGAAGCACUAG
rnacentral:rRNA from 1 species